rnacentral:rRNA from 1 species
CGACAGCAAUAUGAAGGUCAGGCUGAAGACCUUACCCGAUUAGCUGAGAGGUGGUGCAUGGCCGUCGUCAGUUCGUACUGUGAAGCAUCCUGUUAAGUCAGGCAACGAGCGAGACCCACGUCCACAGUUGCCAGCAUACCCUCCGGGGUGAUGCGUACACUGUGGAGACCGCCGCUGCUAAAGCGGAGGAAGGAGUGGGCAACGGUAGGUCAGUAUGCCCCGAAUCUCCCGGGCUACACGCGGGCUACAAUGGUUGGUACAAUGGGCAUCUACCCCGAAAGGGGAAGGAAAUCUCUUAAAGCCAAUCGUAGUUCGGAUUGAGGGCUGCAACUCGCCCUCAUGAAGCUGGAAUCCGUAGUAAUCGCGUUUCAACAGAACGCGGUGAAUACGUCCCUGCUCCUU